GAAUGCUGACAUAAGUAACGAUAAAGCGGGUGAAAAGCCCGCUCGCCGGAAGACCAAGGGUUCCUGUCCAACGUUAAUCGGGGCAGGGUGAGUCGACCCCUAAGGCGAGGCCGAAAGGCGUAGUCGAUGGGAAACGGGUUAAUAUUCCCGUACUUGGUGUUACUGCGAAGGGGGGACGGAGAAGGCUAUGUUGGCCGGGCGACGGUUGUCCCGGUUUAAGCGUGUAGGUGUGUGUUCCAGGUAAAUCCGGUUCACUUUAACACUGAGGCGUGACGACGAGGCACUACGGUGCUGAAGCAACAAAUGCCCUGCUUCCAGGAAAAGCCUCUAAGCAUCAGGUAACAUCAAAUCGUACCCCAAACCGACACAGGUGGUCAGGUAGAGAAUACCAAGGCGCUUGAGAGAACUCGGGUGAAGGAACUAGGCAAAAUGGUGCCGUAACUUCGGGAGAAGGCACGCUGACACGUAGGUGAAGUGAUUUACUCAUGGAGCUGAAGUCAGUCGAAGAUACCAGCUGGCUGCAACUGUUUAUUAAAAACACAGCACUGUGCAAACACGAAAGUGGACGUAUACGGUGUGACGCCUGCCCGGUGCCGGAAGGUUAAUUGAUGGGGUCAGCGCAAGCGAAGCUCCUGAUCGAAGCCCCGGUAAACGGCGGCCGUAACUAUAACGGUCCUAAGGUAGCGAAAUUCCUUGUCGGGUAAGUUCCGACCUGCACGAAUGGCGUAAUGAUGGCCAGGCUGUCUCCACCCGAGACUCAGUGAAAUUGAACUCGCUGUGAAGAUGCAGUGUACCCGCGGCAAGACGGAAAGACCCCGUGAACCUUUACUAUAGCUUGACACUGAACAUUGAGCCUUGAUGUGUAGGAUAGGUGGGAGGCUUUGAAGUGUGGACGCCAGUCUGCAUGGAGCCGACCUUGAAAUACCACCCUUUAAUGUUUGAUGUUCUAACGUGGACCCGUUACCCGGGUUGCGGACAGUGUCUGGUGGGUAGUUUGACUGGGGCGGUCUCCUCCUAAAGAGUAACGGAGGAGCACGAAGGUUGGCUAAUCCUGGUCGGACAUCAGGAGGUUAGUGCAAUGGCAUAAG
rnacentral:rRNA from 2 species